GGUCAAGCGACCAAGCGUAUACGGUGGAUGCCUUGGCAGUCAGAGGCGAUGAAGGACGUGGCAGCCUGCGAAAAGUGUCGGGGAGCUGGCAACAAGCUUUGAUCCGGCAAUGUCCGAAUGGGGAAACCCACCGCGCAAGCGGUAUCCGUAACUGAAUUCAUAGGUUGCGGAAGCGAACCCGGGGAACUGAAAUAUCUAAGUACCCGGAGGAAAAGAAAUCAACCGAGAUUCCGUCAGUAGCGACGAGCGAACGCGGACUAGCCCAAAAGUUUCUAGUGUUUUAGCCGAACGGUUUGGAAA
rnacentral:rRNA from 1 species